rnacentral:rRNA from 1 species
GAUGAACGCUGGCGGCGUGCCUAAUACAUGCAAGUCGAGCGAACGGACGAGAAGCUUGCUUUUCUGAUGUUAGCGGCGGACGGGUGAGUAACACGUGGAUAACCUACCUAUAAGACUGGGAUAACUUCGGGAAACCGGUGCUAAUACCGGUUAAUAUUUUGAACCGCAGGGUUCAAAAGUGAAAGACGGUCUUGCUGUCACUUAUAGAUGGAUCCGCGCUGCUUUAGCUAGUUGGUAAGGUAACGGCUUACCAAGGCAACGAUGCAUAGCCGACCUGAGAGGGUGAUCGGCCACACUGGAACUGAGACACGGUCCAGACUCCUACGGGAGGCAGCAGUAGGGAAUCUUCCGCAAUGGGCGAAAGCCUGACGGAGCAACGCCGCGUGAGUGAUGAAGGUCUUCGGAUCGUAAAACUCUGUUAUUAGGGAAGAACAUAUGUGUAAGUAACUGUGCACAUCUUGACGGUACCUAAUCAGAAAGCCACGGCUAACUACGUG